GGCUGAAGCCCGCUGGCUUAGGUGUUUAGUUGUUAAUUAAAAUUUUACGGGAUCGAGGCCCGUCAGCCAAG
rnacentral:tRNA from 1 species